GAUUAAGUAGCUCAGUGGUUAGAGCAACGGACUGAAAAUCCGUGUGUCGAUGGUUCAAUUCCACCCUUAAUCA
rnacentral:tRNA from 1 species